AGUGAACGCUGGCGGUAGGCCUAACACAUGCAAGUCGAACGGCAGCACAGUAAGAGCUUGCUCUUACGGGUGGCGAGUGGCGGACGGGUGGGGAAUACAUCGGAAUCUACUUUUUCGUGGGGGAUAACGUAGGGAAACUUACGCUAAUACCGCAUACGACCUACGGGUGAAAGCAGGGGAUCUUCGGACCUUGCGCGAUUGAAUGAGCCGAUGUCGGAUUAGCUAGUUGGCGGGGUAAAGGCCCACCAAGGCGACGAUCCGUAGCUGGUCUGAGAGGAUGAUCAGCCACACUGGAACUGAGACACGGUCCAGACUCCCACGGGAGGCAGCAGUGGGGAAUAUUGGACAAUGGGCGCAAGCCUGAUCCAGCCAUACCGCGUGGGUGAAGAAGGCCUUCGGGUUGUAAAGCCCUUUUGUUGGGAAAGAAAAGCAGCAGGUUAAUACCCCGCUGUUCUGACGGUACCCAAAGAAUAAGCACCGGCUAACUUCGU
rnacentral:rRNA from 1 species